AGGAAUGUAUUUACCGACGUAUUGUAUACAUAACCUUCUCUAGAAGCUCAGUUAACAGUUAUAGCAUUGUGGAUAUGUGCAGGAUUUGCAAAUUUGGUUACAGCUUCUACAAGAAAUGCUCACUGAUGAGAAGUAUAGAUUGAGCUGUUGAACCGUGCCAGGAAAUGUCAAUAAUGCAGCCCAAUUCAGAGUAAUGGAAGAAUCUCUGAUGAAAUCUCUUUAUUCACAUUGAGAACACUAGAGGCAUCACUGUCAGCGGUUACCUAAUCAUGGCAAUAUAUGGGAGCUAGUGAAGAUCUCAACUUUUCGAUGGCUCAAUGAGAUGGCGCAUACUUGAAGUUUCGGAUACAGGUCGAAUCUUGAUCUCCAAUCUUCCUACGGAUGACCUGGCUACAAUUUUGCACCUUCCAACAAAUACCAUUCUAUGAAUGGAUUCGACCAAACUUCCAUCAAACACAACAGCUUGGAUUAGAGAAGCCAGACCCGGUACCUUUCAUGUUCAAGUAUUUGAGGGAAAAGGGGAUGCAAGUCGAAGUAAUGGUUGUCUACUUUGCAAUUGAGGCUCCAUGGCUUAGUCCAUUCAUGGAUGUGGCCCACUAGACUGCAUGGACAAAUGACCAAGACCACCAC